rnacentral:rRNA from 1 species
CGCUGAACUUAAGCAUAUCAUUAAGCGGAGGAAAAGAAACUAACAAGGAUUCCCCCAGUAACGGCGAGUGAAGCGGGAAGAGCUCAAGCUUAAAAUCUCCAUGUGUAAGCAUGGCGAAUUGUAGUCUAUAGAGGCUGUUGUCAGCACAGCGAUCUGGGAAAAGUCCCUUGGAAAAGGGCAGCACAGAGGGUGAUACUCCCGUCUUUGCUCAGAUCGUCUUGUGUGUACGAUACGCUUUCUUUGAGUCGAGUUGUUUGGGAAUACAGCUCAAAGUAGGUGGUAAAUUCCAUCUAAAGCUAAAUAUUGGUGCGAGACCGAUAGCGAACAAGUACCGUGAGGGAAAGAUGAAAAGAACUUUGAAAAGAGAGUUAAAGAGUACCUGAAACUGUUGAAAGGGAACCGUAUCGUUUCCAGUGUUAUAUCCUGUGCAUAUUUCAUUAGCGGAGCAAUUUGCUGGUGCCCUGUGCAUGGGUGUGACGUCAGAGUCAGUUUGUAUGCUGCGGGAGAUGGUCAGUGAGGAGGUGCUUCACUUCGGUGAAAGUUAUAUCUUGCUGUCUAGUAGCCGUGGUUGAGACUGAGGUGCCUACAACAUGCCUUGGGGUUCGGGGCUGUCUUGUUUUGGAAACUGCUUGGAUAGCUUGCUAUGUCUGUGGUUUUUCAGAGCAAUUGAUGGUGUCGAUAACCCCUGCUGUUCGGGACUCUGGCGAAAUGGAGCGAUACGACCCGUCUUGAAACACGGACCAAGGAGUCUAACAUGUGUGCAAGUAUUAGGGCGUGGAAACCCAAAUGCGUAAUGAAAGUAAAUGCUGUGUAUGCAGCUUUGGUAGGAAGGGGCUGUAAUGGUCCUGGCACUAUCGACCGAUCAUGAGCCUACGGGCGAAAGAUUUGAGUAUGAGCAUAUAUGUUGGUACCCGAAAGAUGGUGAACUAUGCCUGAAUAGGGUGAAGCCAGGGGAAACUCUGGUGGAAGCUCGUAGCGAUUCUGACGUGCAAAUCGAUCGUCAAAUUUGGGUAUAGGGGCGAAAGACUAAUCGAACCAUCUAGUAGCUGGUUCCCUCCGAAAUUUCCCUCAGGAUAGCAGCAACUUUUUACGAUAGUUUUAUGAGGUAAAGCGAAUGAUUAGAGGCCUCGGGGAAGAAACUUCCUCGACCUAUUCUCAAACUUUAAAUGGGUAAGACCUGUGGGUUUCUUAAUUGAACCUGUGGACGUGAAUAUCCAAGUUGCUAGUGGGCCAUACCGGGUAAGCUGGUCUGGCG